rnacentral:rRNA from 1 species
CAGGAUGAACGCUGGCGGCGUGCUUAACACAUGCAAGUCGAACGGGAUCCCUGGCAGCUUGCUGUCGGGGUGAGAGUGGCGAACGGGUGAGUAAUGCGUGACCAACCUGCCCUGUGCACCGGAAUAGCUCCUGGAAACGGGUGGUAAUACCGGAUGCUCCGCUCCAUCGCAUGGUGGGGUGGGAAAUGCUUUUGCGGCAUGGGAUGGGGUCGCGUCCUAUCAGCUUGUUGGCGGGGUGAUGGCCCACCAAGGCGUUGACGGGUAGCCGGCCUGAGAGGGUGACCGGCCACAUUGGGACUGAGAUACGGCCCAGACUCCUACGGGAGGCAGCAGUGGGGAAUAUUGCACAAUGGGCGCAAGCCUGAUGCAGCGACGCCGCGUGCGGGAUGGAGGCCUUCGGGUUGUAAACCGCUUUUGUUCAAGGGCAAGGCACGGUUUCGGCCGUGUUGAGUGGAUUGUUCGAAUAAGCACCGGCUAACUACGUGCCAGCAGCCGCGGUAAUACGUAGGGUGCGAGCGUUAUCCGGAUUUAUUGGGCGUAAGGGCUCGUAGGCGGUUCGUCGCGUCCGGUGUGAAAGUCCAUCGCCUAACGGUGGAUCUGCGCCGGGUACGGGCGGGCUGGAGUGCGGUAGGGGAGACUGGAAUUCCCGGUGUAACGGUGGAAUGUGUAGAUAUCGGGAAGAACACCAAUGGCGAAGGCAGGUCUCUGGGCCGUCACUGACGCUGAGGAGCGAAAGCGUGGGGAGCGAACAGGAUUAGAUACCCUGGUAGUCCACGCCGUAAACGGUGGAUGCUGGAUGUGGGGCCCUUUCCACGGGUCCCGUGUCGGAGCCAACGCGUUAAGCAUCCCGCCUGGGGAGUACGGCCGCAAGGCUAAAACUCAAAGAAAUUGACGGGGGCCCGCACAAGCGGCGGAGCAUGCGGAUUAAUUCGAUGCAACGCGAAGAACCUUACCUGGGCUUGACAUGUGCCGGAUCGCCGUGGAGACACGGUUUCCCUUCGGGGCCGGUUCACAGGUGGUGCAUGGUCGUCGUCAGCUCGUGUCGUGAGAUGUUGGGUUAAGUCCCGCAACGAGCGCAACCCUCGCCGCAUGUUGCCAGCGGGUGAUGCCGGGAACUCAUGUGGGACCGCCGGGGUCAACUCGGAGGAAGGUGGGGGAUGACGUCAGAUCAUCAUGCCCCUUACGUCCAGGGCUUCACGCAUGCUACAAUGGCCGGUACAACGCGGUGCGACACGGGUGACGUGGGGGCGGAUCGCUGAAAACCGGUCUCAGUUCGGGAUCGCAGUCUGCAACUCGACUGCCGUGAAAGGCGGAAGUCCGCUAGUAAUCGCGGGAUCAGCAACGCCCGCGGGUGAAUGCCGUUCCCGGGGCCUUGUACACACCGCCCC